GCAUUUUUGAGAUGAUUGAAAAGAACUUUGAACUCCAAUUCAUGUUUCUCUAUGGCUAGCUGCAAUUUAGUACUGAAUUCAGGCAAAACAAACUCUACCUUAUCCGGUGGUUUGGGCAGGCAUUGAUCUGCAUGCUCCUUUGGUUUGGGCCAUUAGACUACCAUUUGUUCCUCCUGGGCAUGGACUGUUAGCAUUAGAAGGAUGAAAGGAGUUUCAG
rnacentral:lncRNA from 1 species